GUUAAGUUAUUCACAUUCUGUAAACCCUCGGGAUAUAACCAAGGAGAGGUGGAAGUGAGAGGGUGGCGUGGCAGAGGUUGCUGAGAAUUACCAGAACAAGAAGAACUUACUAUUUUCUGCAUCGACGAACCUAUAGCAGAAACCAUGCCAAAAGGAAGGAUUCGAUUUUAGCCACGAAAGAUCGUAAUUUGUCGGUGAGUUCAAUCUUCUAUCGAACGGUACGUCACACACUGCGAGUGUGGGGAAGGCACCCGCGCGCAUCAAUUAUUCGCGGCGGAACACGCGAUUACGGGAUACGUGAGUUCGAAAGAGAGAAUGUAAGUAUAAAUGCGAUGACCCACCCCGAGUCUUGCCCCUAUAAAAGUUGCAUUGCCGAACGGGGGAACCUCUCAUGAAUGUUCCAUCCCAACAAGAUGCCGUCCGGUGAAAUCCACCAAGUGGCACAAGCCAGGAAUUCUUUUCUCCGCUAAGCCGGCGAAGGUUCGAUACAAUGGUUUCGACGAAGGAAAAACCUGCGUCGCUAUCUGUCUCCAUUAUGUUUCCCAAGUAGUAUGAAUUUAAAAUAGCAUUCCGUAAUCGUCGAUUAAAUCCUCGUCUUCUUUUGCAUUUUUAAUUUUAUGUUUUUCUCGCUCGAUAUUCAAUCGCAGAAAGUAUCCAGCUGAUGUCGGCGGAGUUUCUAUAGAAGAGAAGAGAGAAACGAUCAGAAGCAAUUCCAUUCGGAGAAUAAAUAAAUCGUAGUUACGAUUCGAGGAAUAAAUUCAAUUUUAAUUUUCAAUUCGUCCUUGGCCAUUUUUACGUUGUUCGUUUUAUUUCCCUUAUCCUCUCUCGUUCUUUUCACCUGAUAUUCCAUUACAAACGGUAUCGUUCGUGGCAGAGAAGUUUAUAUAGAAGAAAGGAAGGGGGCGGCGAUCAAACGCGAACAACAGAUCAACCGAAUGCAAUGAUAUUUUAACUAUGCCAACAGUCAGCGAGUCUGCAACGACCAUCAAAUAUGUCACAGGCUUGGAAUUCCCUUUGAUGACCCGUAUACGUAAUAGGCCCCCGUUCUGUUAACCGAUUGCUUCACCGGAUACGUCAGGGGACAGUCUACAUCGUCGUGUACAUCGUAUACACGUAUUAGAAAUCCAAACCGGUGUACUUUCAACCCUAGUUAC
rnacentral:misc_RNA from 1 species